rnacentral:misc_RNA from 1 species
CCUCCUUACCUAUACGACUAACUCAAUACCUAAAGUGCAGAGAUGCAUGUGAGUGUUCACACAGAUUGCUUGUUAACUUCUUCGGAAGUAGAGUGAAACACACCGCUUGCCGGUUAAGUGUUGUUCUUUAACAAUUUGGAAAGCUGAUAGUACUAACUAAAGGCGCAUGAAUGACGAUUCGUUGUUAUUGAUGUGAUGAUGUUAGUGCGAAAAACGUUAAUGCGAAAGCAUUAACACUUGAGUUCUCAAAACACUGUUUAAGUGUCUUGAAUAUUCUAAAAACUAAGGCGAGUCCACUUCCUGGUCGGAGGUGAGACAAGUAAAAACCAGCUGGUCAUGAUAUGGCCCAGAUGUUCACGCAAGUGAAACUCAUUUGGGUUGUAUGGUUAAGUGACCAAGCGUAUACGGUGGAUGCCUUGGCAGUCAGAGGCGAUGAAGGACGUAAUAACUUGCGAAAAGCGUUGGCGAGCUAGUAUUAAGCAUUCGAGCUAACGAUUCCA